GGUUCGUUGGUGUAGUUGGUUAUCACGUCUGUCUCACAAGGACGAUCUCGGGAUCGAACACUAUAGCUUGUUCACAGGAGGUCUCCGGUUCGAUCUCGGAUCGAACCA